AAAUGUUCUUUGUUUGUUUACUUUUUGACUGAAUAUUAUACAGCGACUGUGCUUUUAUUUAUAUAUAUUUGUUCGUAUAUCGUCAUUGAUUUGUAGUAAUAGAAGUAUUUUUUCGAUACAUUGAAAUACAAAUUUGUUAUUUUGUUUUCCUUAAAAACUUUUCAAAAGUCGAUUUAUUUAGUUGUUGCAGCAAACCGUUCAUUUUUUAAAAUUCAUUUAUAAACGUAUUUUGGCAAAGUAAGUCUCAUGUUUUUCACAAUCAAAAACGAGUAAAUGUACUAGACGGGAUUUGUAGUUACAAACAAAGGAGCAAAUCCGAGUUGACUAAAAUGACAAUUUCAAUUAUAAAAUUUGACAGUUGACUUGACAAUUUCUAAGUCAACUGAACAAUGAUUAUAGAAUAAUACUAAGCAUACAAAAUACGUAGUACGAGCCUUUUUAACGUCAAGUAAUGACGACAUUGAGUAUCUGGCAUUUUAUUCGCUUAAUUGAUCAGGUCCGUGUUUAUAGUGCCCCGUAGGAGUCCACAUAUCUGUCUCAUAUGACAUGUCAACUGAAAAUUAUACAAUAAUUGUAAUUUAUAGGUGAUUAGAUAUUGUUUCUAGAUGGAUUCGAUACCUGGAAGGCAGUUAGUCUCUCAUGUAUCGAAUACCACGUGCCGACUGCAUUAACAGAAGGUACACCCGCCUCGUACAGAUAGAUGGCUACUGUCCAGAUAGUACCGAAACUGCUUUAUAGCAACAUCGUCCCUUUGAAAGAAGCCGAAUAUUUGUUCAUGUUCCAUCGACUCUCGGCCAUCCCUUACCACCCUCGCACGGACACAACGGAGAAAAAUGUUUUAUUUUAAUAAGAAAAAAGACGUGGCAAGUGUGCCAGGCACGUGUGUUCUUUCUCUCUGAUUGUCGCCCCCAGCAGGACGCGCAUACGUAUAUGUAUAUUCCGUCUUUUUUUCCAGCUGGUUGUGUUAUUGCACAAUAAUAUUGUAUACUGUAAAUCGAAUUCCUAAGCUCAAGGUGCACACAACUAUAUGUGCGUGUAUUCGUGUGUGUGUAUGGACAGUUUUUUAAAAUAAUACACGAUCAUAAGGACACGGGAUUUCCGCAAAAUGACAUAUAAAAAUACUAUUUUGACAGAGAUUGUUCAUGGAAAUACGUAUAUUCUUUAAAAAAUGCAGACAAUAAAUAAUAUAAUGAAUCGUAUAACUCAUAUUUGUUGAAGAAAUUCUAUUUGAAAAUAUCGUAUGAUUUACUGAUGAUCAUAUUUUGGAUUUUUUUUUUUAUUUAAUGUUUAUAGUUUUCAUCAAAUUAACAAUGCUAACCUAUUUUUGACGUAUAAUGCAUAGCUGUUAUCUUAAAUUCUAAUAAUGUAAUAGGUAUAGAUAAAUAGUCAAACGUUGUGUCAAGGAAAUUACUUUUCUGUUGUUUUUUUAUUUUUUGAAUAAAGUAACAUAAAAAUAUGUUUCAGGCAGUCGCAUAAAAUGAAAUAUUCUCCGAAUUUCGUUUCUUGUAUUCACUGAAAUAAUACUAAAUGUCUAUAGAUAACAAGAGUAAUUAAUGAAAAUAUUAUCAAGAUCCAAGAUGAAAAUUAAAACAAUUUUUAUUCUUUAAUGUUAAGGGUGUUUCUGAAAUACACAUGAAAAAACACGUAGGUAAAUUGGACAUUUUUAAAAAUGAUAUUAAGACGGCCCACGUGGUCAUCAUGGAAUUCAAUAGAAACUACUAUAUCACGUAUGGGCUUAGUGUUAUUUUAAAAGGCGAUAUUGCAAAAAACCGUUGGUCGCAUGUUUCCUUUGAAAAACCCCACUUGGACUCUACUUCAAUGUACCAAGCAGCCGUCCCGAUCAUGCGGCACAUGGCGUGAUGUGUUACAUGUAUGAGACCGCAGAAGAUCUACAGGUAAGAAAAGGAGAGAACGCACGGAACCCGAUGGCGGAUUAUUUUGUUUAUGAUAGGUUAGAUUGACGGGAUCCGUGUUUGUGCGGAGGCGGUGGAGGACCAAGGAAGCAGUCCAGAAGCACCGAGGAGAGCAAAGCAAUGCAGCUGUUGCGUACACCUGGUGUGGCGGACCUCGCGGGCCUUGGCGUAGACGGUCGGGUGGCAGCUGGUCGUCCGCCACAGCCUGCACACAGUACGAACCUAAGAAAGAGCAAGACGGCAGCAACAAAUGCAGCAGCAGCAGUCGUAGGCAGACGCAUACAAAUAAAAGCUGUUUCAAACUCAACCCUGUUGCUUCGCAAGUCUGCCGCCUAACAUAUGAAUGGUCGGGUGUCUCGACGUACCUUAGCCGCGUGCUUCGAUCGAGGGAGUGCCACUGUCGCCGUCAUUUUUGCCCCAAGGAGAAGGUGUGUCAGUAGGUGGUGUGUUUACUGUAAAACAAGAGAAUGGCAACGACAUGAUUGCUGUGGAAAGUAUGGAUUUACAUCAUGAUGCGAAUAAUCUUUGCACUUCCCAUAUUUUAACUGAGGAGGAUCGCCUAAAUAAUUGUACCCCAGAACUUGAAGUAACAGCUAUUGAAGAAGUAGUGUUCAUGGAAACGAGUAAACACGAAGAAGAUGUUAUACGCUAUUUUGGAAUAAAUGAUGAAGCCGGUAGAAUUAUUUAAAAAAAUGGAAAAUUUUAUAAAUUUUAUAAGAAAGAUAUUGUUGGUUCUUAUAAAUAUUAUAAAUCUGCCCAAAAAGCAAAGUUUGUUGUCGAUGAUUUAUAAGCAAAUUGGGCGAAAGAUAUAGAAAUAGUUGGAGACAUUUAUGGUCAACGAUGCUAUUAUUGUUUAAUGCAUGGUUACUAUACAGAGGAAUGUAUUCAAUUAGAUAUUGAUUCUUUAAAUUUUUACUAUCCUUACAUUUAAGGUACUAGUACAAUCUGCUUGGUUAUUCUAUUUAUUCAGUUAUUAUUCAAAUUUAAUAU